GCUUGUGAAUCACAUGAUUGAACUCGGGUUCUCCAAGUCAUUAUCUGAAUGGAUUGGUAGCAAUCUUAAGAAAUCUGGAGAACAGGAGACUUGGUCUUUUAAUCUUGAAGGUGCCAUCCAGAUGUUCAAUUCUUACAGGGAGACAUCAUAUUGGUCUCUACUGGAGCACCCACCGAAAGGAAUGGAGAUGGGUAUCGUGAUCGCAGAAAAGAGCGACCGGUGGGAGCCUGAUGUAAUUCAGCGACUUGAAAAUCUUGACAAUCAGAAAGAAAAUGGCGCUGAGGGUAAGG
rnacentral:misc_RNA from 1 species